rnacentral:tRNA from 2 species
UCCUGGUUAACUCAGUUGUUAGAGCGCUCCACUGGAAAUGGAGAGCUCUCUGGUUCGAUACCAAAACCAGGCG